GUCAAUAACUCACCGCUAAGUCCUAUGGGACUAUAGCGGGAGCUUGUUAAAAGCUCGUAGUUGACCAGUCUAAGUUCUAUAAGAACUACGUUAUUCCUAAGUGUUAAAGUUCCUACCUGAGGAUGCGUAGCUAGUCUUCAGCUCUAGA
rnacentral:sRNA from 14 species